UACGUAGGGGGCAAGCGUUGUCCGGAAUCAUUGGGCGUAAAGAGCGUGUAGGCGGCCCGGUAAGUCCGCUGUGAAAGUCGGGGGCUCAACCCUCGAAUGCCGGUGGAUACUGUCGGGCUAGAGUGCGGGAGAGGCGAGUGGAAUUCCUGGUGUAGCGGUGAAAUGCGCAGAUAUCAGGAGGAACACCGGUGGCGAAGGCGGGUCUCUGGGCCGAAACUGACGCUGAGGAGCGAAAGCGUGGGGAGCAAACAGG
rnacentral:rRNA from 1 species